CCAACCAACCGCUUGGUUUGACCAGUGUCCUGUUUCCGUUUACAUCCCAUCCGUAAUUCCGCAGCAAGUUCGAGUCCAAGUCCGCGUCCACAUCUGCAGGGUCCUCAAGGCCUAGUGCGACUGCCCUAACAUCCGUGUCAACCUCUGAGGCACCAUACCCGUUGCCUAUCUUGGACGUGUUUAUAUCCAGUUUAUGUGAAUAUUGGUUAAUCAAAGAUCUGAUAUGGCGGGCCCAAUACCCGGUAGCAUUGUGACAGGCUGCGUCAAGGUGACAUGUUGAGAGGUACAGUCUCCUGGGCGUAGCCCACGUACUCGAGUUUAAGAGGUGGUCCAACCAUAAAUAAAUCGCCUCGCUAUAUGAGUCUUCCUCCAUAGUAGUGUUAUCCUUAUCGGCAAGGGCACGAACUAACUCAUCGCUUAGUGUGGUUAGAAAUGUUGGCUGCUGUCGACAUAGCUCUUUUAAAAAUGCAUCCCAUGUCGAGAAUGCACUUUCCAUGGAACUUCCAAGACUGGAAUAAGAAUUAGCAAAGACGGCUUCUUUUCCGUGAGGGUGUUAAUAUACUGACGUUCUGCCAACUGGAACCAAAAUACCGUGCUCCAAAAGCGUUUUGGUGACAGUCAGUUCUCCCUGCCGAAAUCUGCAAAUCAGAGCGACAUUUUUUAAUCCCGGAAACGAUUCCGAUUUUCGGGAACCUCUUGUCGCAUAACUUUCACUUAGUCUGUUCUCGCCAAGGACCGCAUUUUUCAAUGUCUUUUGGACUUCAUUUUUCGUGAAUGGAAAUACGCCAUUUGGCUCUUGAACGUCCAUGCCCGCAUCGGCAACCUCGAUAUCCCCUAACCCGGCCCAAUAAAAUUCCCAAAGCCAAUCCAGGGACCGGUGAGCGGCAUUUCGAAGUACAGUAAGAGCGGGUAACUCCCUAUGUGUUGCCUCGUGGCGCAGUUCUACAAAUGAAGCUGGUAGGCCGAGUUCCAUUGCCCUUUGGAACAUAGUCUGUUUUCUCCCGUACAACUUCGAGUCAACUAGUCCGGUUACAAAUCUGCGUUGCAAAGAGUAAGUAACACGUGAAUUUGUGGGGUGCAAACGGCUAAAUUGCCAAGAAGGGAAUCGCUGAGAGUUAAUAUAUAUAUGUAUAUAUAUAUUAUGUUCGUUUGUUCGUUUGCUGAGACCAAAACAAAGUUUUAAAGGGAAUGGAAAGCGAUAGCCAUCUUACCUGCAAAAAGCUGCUGAGUAAGUUGCUCGAAUGGAAAAGAUAGAAUGCUUUCUUGCAUCAUCAUCAUGUAGUAUAGCAUCAGUUAAUAAUGCGGUCGCCUCUACUGCAUGCGGCAGGUUCCCGCGCAAUUUCCAAACCCAGAC
rnacentral:sRNA from 1 species